rnacentral:rRNA from 1 species
AUUGAACGCUGGCGGCAGGCCUAACACAUGCAAGUCGAGCGGAUGAAGGGAGCUUGCUCCUGGAUUCAGCGGCGGACGGGUGAGUAAUGCCUAGGAAUCUGCCUGGUAGUGGGGGAUAACGUCCGGAAACGGGCGCUAAUACCGCAUACGUCCUGAGGGAGAAAGUGGGGGAUCUUCAGACCUCACGCUAUCAGAUGAGCCUAGGUCGGAUUAGCUAGUUGGUGGGGUAAAGGCCUACCAAGGCGACGAUCCGUAACUGGUCUGAGAGGAUGAUCAGUCACACUGGAACUGAGACACGGUCCAGACUCCUACGGGAGGCAGCAGUGGGGAAUAUUGGACAAAGGGCGAAAGCCUGAUCCAGCCAUGCCGCGUGUGUGAAGAAGGUCUUCGGAUUGUAAAGCACUUUAGGUUGGGAGGAAGGGCAGUAAGUUAAUACCUUGCUGUUUUGACGUUACCAACAGAAUAAGCACCGGCUAACUUCGUG